AGGGAAUCUUCCACAAUGGACGCAAGUCUGAUGGAGCAACGCCGCGUGAGUGAAGAAGGUUUUCGGAUCGUAAAGCUCUGUUGUUGGUGAAGAAGGAUAGAGGCAGUAACUGGUCUUUAUUUGACGGUAAUCAACCAGAAAGUCACGGCUAACUACGUGCCAGCAGCCGCGGUAAUACGUAGGUGGCAAGCGUUGUCCGGAUUUAUUGGGCGUAAAGCGAGCGCAGGCGGAAUGAUAAGUCUGAUGUGAAAGCCCACGGCUCAACCGUGGAACUGCAUCGGAAACUGUCAUUCUUGAGUGCAGAAGAGGAGAGUGGAACUCCAUGUGUAGCGGUGGAAUGCGUAGAUAUAUGGAAGAACACCAGUGGCGAAGGCGGCUCUCUGGUCUGCAACUGACGCUGAGGCUCGAAAGCAUGGGUAGCGAACAGGAUUAGAUACCCUGGUA
rnacentral:rRNA from 1 species